AUGGAGGAUAAAGAUACUGUAAUAAUGUUUCAAAGAUGAAUGCUAGAUCGUUAAACACGUUGAUUAAAUAUAAACAUAUUUUUAAAUCACAUUUAUGAGAGUUAGGCGAAGAUUUUGUGAUGGAUUUUAUAUUUGCUACUGUACAAUAGGGGAGGUUACUGCGUAGGAGACGAACCUUUUCUUAAACCGGUUUAGCAUCAAAUCAAGUAGGACUUACUCCGGUGACCUCAGACGAAUAUUCGUGUAAAAAAUGGAUUGAAAUGGACAAUCAUAAAAUUUUGGGCUAUGGACUUAUUGAAGACAACUGUAUGGAGAUAAACAGAAACACAGAGGUACUAUACAUUCUGAUGGAAACGACAACAAAAGCAUCUCCCAUCAUUUUGGCGUGGCUCAGAUCAAGAGGAGAAAUUUAAAAAAGGUGAUGGUUGGGCACACACAAGAAGACAUAGAUCACAGGCAUCUAGCCAUAUGAGUAGACAGGAGUUUCACACUCUGCCAGACUUACUUCCUCAGACGAGCAGAUUUAGGCUUCUCAAGAUCACGCACUGCACACUAAGACAUAGUCUUUGACUACAACAAGGCCUUAGGGGAUGAAAGUACAGAGAGGUCCAAUUGAAAUCAAUUCUGUGCUGCAUCAUUUCUUCAUUCUGGAGGUUGAUGGACAUGAUUUAUGGCAUCAAAUGUGCAGUUUGUCAACUUACUAUCAACACAGCAGUCUUGUUCACCAGUGCGCAACUUGAGCUUUUAGCUUUAUUGCUUGAAGCCACUGCAUAAGAGGAGGGAAGGUGCAGGCUCAUCAAAGUCUCAAAGUUGAAACUAGGAAAAAAAGUUUGUCAAGAGUGUGAAUAUUUGCUUUGAAAACAAUUGUUACAAUGAUUUGGUUUCCUUUGAAACUUGAUACAUACUAUGUUUAUGUUGAAUGAAUUGAGAUGCUUAAAUAAAGAACCGCUAUUCAAAUAUCAGGAAACUGCAUUUUUCAUACUAAAGGGUAAAUGAUGUCGCCAUUUCCUGUAUGUAUUUAAAUAAGAUACGUUUCCACAAUUAAUAUUUUUAGAAACUAUUUUUCAACGUAAUGAAAUAGAUUAAAUUUGUACAGCGUUAUAUGAGCUUAAUAUGUGUUUUCUGUUUCCUUAAAAUUGAUGAAAAAUUGUCAGAAGGUAAUGAGACCAGUAUCCAUUACUGCAAUCAUACAAUCAAAAAUACAGGGACAAGCCCACUGCUCAUAUAAUAUAAUUAAACCUUGUUUAGGGGCAUGAGGCAAACAGAGUUACUUUCAAAUGUUAAAGAUGCACUCUCACACUUUGGAUGUUUUGACCAUUUUUUUUCAUUUUUAGCUCUACUGGCCAAAGGCCAGAAGAGCUUAUGCGAUGGUAAUGUGUACGUAGUAUGUGCGUCUGUAAACAAUCCUCGUUAACACGAUACAGCCUUCAGUUUUGAUUGUAACUUGAUGAAACCUGUACAGUAUCUACAAAUCCAUUAGAGCUCGGUUCCUUUCGAAAACCAGCCAGAUCCGCCCAUGAAUGCCAAGAUUAUGGGCCUUGAUAAUAAAAAAAUAGUGUGUCAGUAAACAAUUGCUCGGUAACACGAUACAGUCUUCAGUUUUGAUUGUAUCUUAAUGAAACUUGUCCAGUAUAUCCAUUAGAGCUCAGUUCCUUUCAAAAACCUGAUCUGCUCAUGUUUCCUGGAUUAUUGGCCUUGAAAUUAUUAGAUGAUGGGCCUUGAUAGUAUAAAAAAAUGCUAUUUUGUAAUAAAUGCUUGCGAAUAUGAUACAGUCUUCAGUUUUGAGUAUUCAGAUACCCAUAAGGGGUUGGUUCUUUUCGAAAACAGUGAUGUUGACCACACAAACCCAGCCAGUAGAGCAUAGGCCCUUUUGGGCCUCUUGUUUGUUUUGGAUUGGUACCAUCCAAUCUUUGCGAAAAAUGCAUGGAAACCAGUAAUAUAAGACUACUGACAAAAAAUUCAAUCGCAGACUUUUCUAUUUAAGUUAAAACAUUGAUGUUUUAUGCACUUUUCUUAAACCGUUAGUAACAUUAAUCUUCGAAGGAAAUAUGAAAUCUGGGAUUUGAUGUUUUGUCAGCAGUCUUUUACCAUUGGUUUGCUGAUAUUUACGCAAAAAUUUGCUCAUUCCAAGACAAACCAAAAGUUGUUAAAACGGUAUAUCUGUGAGAAUGCAGCUCUAAAUGUUUUGGCAAACAUGUUUUUGAUUUGGCAGCACAAUCUUGAAAAUUGCUUGAUUGUACUGCUGUAUUAGAAAUUACAGGGGUAAUGGGGGAUUUUUUUAGUGUUUUUAUUGCUUUUUGUGAUUCAUACAGUCAUACAUCAUUCCUCAGGGCACAACUUACAAAUAGACAGAACAGGAAAAUGGUCAUUUUAAAAGGUCAAGGACAAUGUAAGUUGAACAAUCAUAUUGUUCAUGGCUUGUAUUUUUGGUAUAUUUUGUUGCAUGUGUGCUAUAAAAAAGUUGAAAGUUAAAACUAACUUCAUAGUUGAAAUGAUGGCUUUGAAUGGUAUUGUCAGUUGAGAAACAGCACUAUUAAGAAAUAUGUUAAUGGUACUUUAUUAUUUUAAUCAAUUUUAGAUAUUUGUAUUGAAAAUUAUUAUCCUAUUUUGUACAUGAGACCUUUUAAACAGUUAUUUAUAAUAUAACAAUGUGUAAAUGAAGCUUUAGAUCAAAACUUAAAGCUGCACUUUCACAGAUUGUCAUUUUAGACACUUUAAAAAAAUUGUCUCAAAAGCUGAUUUGGUUAUCAUUCCUCUAAUUCAGUUAUAUUAGAUAAUUCACAAUAGAACCAAUCAAAAAUGUUUGGUAAGACUGCCGAAAAGUUCAUUUACAUUAAAUUGGUCGUAAUGCUACUAUACCCAUAAAACAUCAUUUUAGCCAUAAAUAUGACAAAAUGCAAUCUGAUCUUAUUUCAGUAGUCUUAUAUCACUUAAAAUUGGGUCUAUGCACAUAUUCAUAGACCAACAAUAAAAGAGUGCCGGUAGUCAAAACGAUCAAUUAGUGAGAUUGCAGCUUUAAUUACACCUUUUUAAGACCGCUGUAAAAUUCUAAUUGUUUGCCUCAAUCUUUAAAGCUAGCAUACUGUUUAAUUUGACAGCCAUACUUUUUGUUUAAAAGUGCCAUGAUAUGUUUGUACAAUGUGUUUA